CGGAGCGUAGCGCAGCCUGGUAGCGCAAUUGGUUCGGGACCAAUAGGUCGGAGGUUCGAAUCCUCUCGCUCCGACCA
rnacentral:tRNA from 1 species